AGAUGGCUCAGUGGUUAAGAGCACUUGUUGCGGUUGCAUAGGACCUGGGUUCAAUUCCCAGCAUCUA
rnacentral:tRNA from 1 species